rnacentral:pre_miRNA from 1 species
UCACCUCCGCAGGCUGGGCGGCCCCCAGGCUGGGCUGGGUGAGUAUCUCUUCGAAAGGCUCACCCUCAAGAGCCCAUACAGU